AUGCGCACCCUCAAGCAGAGGGACGAGCCCGUCGGCACCUACUGCCAGCGCCUCAAGGCCAUGGCGGAUGAACUGCAUGAGCUCGGCGUUCCGGUGGAUGACCGUCGGCUCAUCUCCGCCACCCUCGCCGGCAUCAGCGAGCGAUUCGACAAGGUCACCUCCGUCAUCCCUCUGCUUCGCCCCGCGCCGCCGUACUCUGAGGUGCUCUCCAUGCUUCAACUCGAGGAGACCAAACUGCGCACCAGGAUGGAGCAACCGCAGGCCUUCUACUCCAACAACGGGCCUCGCAACAGCGGCAACGCCGCCCAAGCUCCGUCCCCGCAACAGCCGGCCGUGCGCCCCACCGGCGUCAGCCCGAACUACAAGGGCAAGAACCCGAUUCCCGGUUUUCAGCACCGGAACGCAUCCAACAACGGGUCGACCUCCACGACGCCAUCGGCUCACGCCUCACCAGCACCGCCUCGUCAACCGGCAGCGACACCGACGGCACCCAUGACUCCGCCAUGGCGUGCCCACACUGAUCCCUGGACCGGCUUGGUUCAGGCCUGGCCUGUCCCAUGGACCCAGGCAACUGCCGUCGCCGCGCCUGGCCCCGUGCCCUGGCAGCUGCCGUCGCCACGACUCGUCGGCGGCCCCGGCCUGCUUGGCCGGCCUCCUGCUCAGGCAUACUACUUCGCGCAGAACCAUCAACCGGCGCCUGCGACAUACCCGGCCUCGCCAUUUGCGCCUCCUGCCUAUGCGGCUGCGCCGAUGCAAGCGCCGAUGUACGCACCUCCCACGACUCCUGCGUCUCCUGCCUGGGACCAAGCGGCCUUGGUUCACGCCUUGAAUGCCUAUACCAACCACAAUGAUGGAGGCUGGAUCGUCGACUCUGGAGCAACUGCGCACAUGUCUGGUACGCCUGGAUCUCAAAACCCAGGCCCUGAUCGCACGACAUGA
rnacentral:rRNA from 1 species